GAUGAACGCUAGCGGCAGGCUUAAUACAUGCAAGUCGAGGGGCAGCAGGUCUGUAGCAAUACAGAUGCUGGCGACCGGCAAACGGGUGCGGAACACGUACAGAACCUUCCUUCGAGCGGGGAAUAGCCCAGAGAAAUUUGGAUUAAUACCCCAUAGUACAUUGAAGAGGCAUCUCUUUAAUAUUAAAGAUUUAUCACUUGAAGAUGGCUGUGCGCUGAUUAGGUAGUUGGCGGGGUAACGGCCCACCAAGCCUACGAUCAGUAACUGGUGUGAGAGCACGACCAGUCACACGGGCACUGAGACACGGGCCCGACUCCUACGGAGGCAGCAGUAAGGAAUAUUGGUCAAUGGACGCAAGUCUGAACCAGCCAUGCCGCGUGGAGGAUGAAGGUCCUCU
rnacentral:rRNA from 1 species